UACAGGGGGUGCAAACGUUGCUCGGAAUCAUUGGGCGUAAAGCGCACGUAGGCGGUCUGUUAUGUCGGAUGUGAAAGCCCUUGGCUCAACUGAGGAAGUGCAUCCGAAACUGGCAGGCUAGAGUACUAAAGAGGGUCGCGGAAUUCCCGGUGUAGAGGUGAAAUUCGUAGAUAUUGUGAGGAACGCCGGAGGCGAAAGCGGCGCACUGGAUCUCUUCUGACGCUGAGGCGCGAAAGCUAGGGGAGCAAACGGG
rnacentral:rRNA from 1 species